GACGAACGCUGGCGGCGUGCUUAACACAUGCAAGUCGAACGGAAAGGCCCUGCUUUUGUGGGGUGCUCGAGUGGCGAACGGGUGAGUAACACGUGAGUAACCUGCCCUUGACUUUGGGAUAACUUCAGGAAACUGGGGCUAAUACCGGAUAGGAGCUCCUGCGGCAUGGUGGGGGUUGGAAAGUUUCGGCGGUUGGGGAUGGACUCGCGGCUUAUCAGCUUGUUGGUGGGGUAGUGGCUUACCAAGGCUUUGACGGGUAGCCGGCCUGAGAGGGUGACCGGCCACAUUGGGACUGAGAUACGGCCCAGACUCCUACGGGAGGCAGCAGUGGGGAAUAUUGCACAAUGGGCGGAAGCCUGAUGCAGCAACGCCGCGUGCGGGAUGACGGCCUUCGGGUUGUAAACCGCUUUCGCCUGUGACGAAGCGUGAGUGACGGUAAUGGGUAAAGAAGCACCGGCUAACUACGUGCCAGCAGCCGCGGUGAUACGUAGGGUGCGAGCGUUGUCCGGAUUUAUUGGGCGUAAAGGGCUCGUAGGUGGUUGAUCGCGUCGGAGGUGUAAUCUUGGGGCUUAACCCUGAGCGUGCUUUCGAUACGGGUUGACUUGAGGAAGGUAGGGGAGAAUGGAAUUCCUGGUGGAGCGGUGGAAUGCGCAGAUAUCAGGAGGAACACCAGUGGCGAAGGCGGUUCUCUGGGCCUUUCCUGACGCUGAGGAGCGAAAGCGUGGGGAGCGAACAGGCUUAGAUACCCUGGUAGUCCACGCUGUAAACGGUGGGUACUAGGUGUGGGGUCCAUUCCACGGGUUCCGUGCCGUAGCUAACGCUUUAAGUACCCCGCCUGGGGAGUACGGCCGCAAGGCUAAAACUCAAAGGAAUUGACGGGGCCCCGCACAAGCGGCGGAGCAUGCGGAUUAAUUCGAUGCAACGCGUAGAACCUUACCUGGGUUUGACAUGGAUCGGGAGUGCUCAGAGAUGGGUGUGCCUCUUUUGGGGUCGGUUCACAGGUGGUGCAUGGCUGUCGUCAGCUCGUGUCGUGAGAUGUUGGGUUAAGUCCCGCAACGAGCGCAACCCUUGUUCACUGUUGCCAGCACGUUAUGGUGGGGACUCAGUGGAGACCGCCGGGGUCAACUCGGAGGAAGGUGGGGAUGACGUCAAGUCAUCAUGCCCCUUAUGUCCAGGGCUUCACGCAUGCUACAAUGGCUGGUACAGAGAGUGGCGAGCCUGUGAGGGUGAGCGAAUCUCGGAAAGCCGGUCUCAGUUCGGAUUGGGGUCUGCAACUCGACCUCAUGAAGUCGGAGUCGCUAGUAAUCGCAGAUCAGCAACGCUGCGGUGAAUACGUUCCCGGG
rnacentral:rRNA from 1 species